rnacentral:lncRNA from 1 species
AUAAAUGACGAUAUCCUUAGGAGGAUAAAAAGGCUAUAAUCAAAGCCUAAAUCAGUUUAUCUGAAACAAAUAUACGAAGUCACAACGAAGAAAGCAGGACUAAAAGCCGAAAACUGACAUGAUAGUUGUCAUUAAAAAGGUACGAGACUUGAUCUCCCAAAUCAUCAGCUAAGAGCUGAGCUCGCAACUUAAGCUUAAUUCAGAGCUUCUGAAUGAAAAUAUAUAGUUUACAUCACAAAUACGAAGAGUAGAGAUAAAUGUCAAGAAAUAUGAAAAACAAGAAAGAAACUAAUAUUACAUUACUGACUAUUACAAUUUAUUUCUCCGGCGAGGAAGGAGGAUAAAUAGUCCUUAAAGGACUUACAUCAGUAAGUACACCCUCGCCUGCAUUAUCUCUAUUUACAGCCAUCCCCGAAGGAAGCUCGGUGUCCCUGGGGCCAGAGCUCUCAACAUUAAUAGUAGGGGCCACUUCUGACCUAGGGUGGAGGCCGUCUUUCUCAGAAUCAAGAUCAUCUUCUUCUGACCCUACCUCAGAUUCCUCUGACGAAGAC